GGCGAGGUGGCCGAGUGGUUAUGGCGUAAGUUCCUCUGCACAGCACACCUCCAGCAGCAUCGCAUCUAACAACAUCAACAGGCUAGUUUCAGGACAUCUCUCAAGGGAGUUCCGAAGCGGAUUACUAGUGGAGCAAUCCUCGUGGGUUCGAGUCCCACCCUCGUCA
rnacentral:tRNA from 1 species